AUCACUUCUCAGCCUUCUGGCUAAGAUCGAGUGUAGUAUCUGUUCUUAUCAGUUUAAUACCUGAUGCGUCCUCUGAGGACGAUACAGUAAACGGAGUUUUGGAACAAGGAGGUGGAAUAGGAGCUGCUCCGUCCACUCCCUGCAUCGACCUGGUAUUGCAGAACCUCCCAGAAUGGUGCACCAAAA
rnacentral:snRNA from 1 species